rnacentral:rRNA from 1 species
UACGUAGGUGGCAAGCGUUGUCCGGAUUUACUGGGCGUAAAGGGCGCGUAGGCGGAUGUUUAAGUCGGGGGUGAAAGCCCGGGGCUCAACCCCGGAAUUGCCUUCGAUACUGGACAUCUUGAGUACGGGAGAGGUGAGUGGAACUCCGAGUGUAGAGGUGAAAUUCGUAGAUAUUCGGAAGAACACCAGUGGCGAAGGCGACUCACUGGCCCGUUACUGACGCUGAGGCGCGAAAGCGUGGGGAGCAAACAGG